CGUCCCACCACGAUUGUUGUAAAUUAUUGCUUUUUUUAUGACGACGGUUCCUCCCCAAAUUGCUGCCCGUGGGUUAGCAGCUAAUCCUACCACAGUCUAAUCGAGCGCAUCGUGUGCAGCAGGCGGUUCAAGAACUUUAGGGAGCGACUGCUCUUGCCGGCGGCCGGGAAGACGCUGAGGCCGGUGAUUACGGCGGCGGCGAGCAGCUUCAGCAAGAUCGCGGCGGGCGGCGAGCAGCUUCAGCAAGAUUGCGGCGUGCGGCUUCAGCAAGAUCGCGGGGAGUGGCUGUAGCUGGAGAUCGCCACGGCGGCGAGCGGCUACAUCUGGGGAUAUGGGCGACUUGAGCCGUGGUGAGCGACUGUCGGCGUUGGUGCCUACGCGAGCGGCCGGUGGCCUAGGCAGCGUUACGGUGGACUCCGCGGCGUACGGAGCUCAUUUAGCAUCGGUGGGGUCUGCGAGUGGCUUCGGCAGUGCUGCGGGCGUAGCAUGCCGGCCAGCCGGUGGGCUUCGACCUCAAGUUUAGUUAUUCUCUGCCAUGGGCAUUGCAAAGUGUAAAGAUUCGGUGUGUUACUCAGGACUCAGUGUUGCCUACACGAUGGGCCUGAUAUUGCCUCCAACUCAGGGAAAUAUACACAAACAUUGCCCAUAUAUGCCACUGAACAAAGGAGUAGCUGGGAAAUUUUAUGCAAUCACAUGCAAUGGCGGCAGGCGGAAGCUGUGCAGGGCAUGGUGGCGGGAUUCGGCUUGAUUGAUUAGAAGCUUAACUGAAUUCUGAAUCAAUAGAAGAGUGCCUCUUGGAUGCUUCCUUAGUGAUGCAGCGUGAUUACAAUCAAAAGGUCAAACUUCCCUCCAUAUUGUUUACAUGGCUGGAUCUACAUAAAACUUUUGUCUCCGAAAGGUAGGCAUUUGUCUCCAACUAGUGAUGAUUAUUGAUGUGGUUUGUUCAAACAGAAGCACCGUUGAUUCCUUAGCUAAAUUUUGUUAUCGUGUAGAUCCAGGUGAUACCCCAUCAUAUCAUCUCUAUCUAGCUCUCUAUAGUUUGUGUAUAGCCUUACGAUCCCAUCAAUUAAUUUAUGUAGGGUACCAAUUGAUUUGUAAAUUCAAUGUACAUUCCGGAGGAGUGCAGCUAGGAUGAUGGCCUUUGUCUCUACGGCAUGAUUAGAAAUAAAAGGUUGAACUUUUGUGCAUCAUGUUUAUUUUGUUUUGGUACUUCUUUGGACUAAUGGCAUUCAUCCUCAUCCCAUCUGCAUUCUUCUUGUGUUUCUUUACAUUGAUUUGUCGAAUAGAAAGUGGCAAGAAGAUUACACUUUAGGGGAUUAUAACAUUAGUUUUCUUUGCUUUUGAAGUAGGUUGGAACUUUAUUUUAGUUACUUUAUUCUUUGGCCACAUGUGAUUCAUUUUUCUGAUCGAUUGUUCUCGAUAUAACAUUAUGCAUUCCAUUCUCAGGGACCGUAAGUGCUAACUUUGAUAGAAUAACACAAUGAGACAUAGUCUUCUAAUAUUGGGUCAGACACUGAGGAGGAUUCAUAUGAGUUUUGCGACACAUAUUUACGGGAAAAGGGUUUUCUGUUCGUUCAUCCAUUGCAUCGGUUGCUUAGUAGCUCUUUGCCUUAUUGUGCGAGAGGGAGCUGAUAUAGCACGGUGAUUUAAUUGUUCAAGUUGUAGAUUGUGUUGUUGUGUGGCCUGAGCUCAAGCGCCUUUUUGAGCUAAGGUUCAGUGAGCCUUUUUGAGCUAAGGUUCAUUAUCGUUUUUCAUUUGGCAAUUUUUGACUUUUGUGUAGCUUCUCAAGAUUAUGAGCUCAUUUAUUCAGGACAUUAAGCUUAUUAUUAACUGAAUUCUGAAUCCUUAUGUACAUGUCUUCACGUGCAUCAUAGUCAAUAGUUUUUUUUGGUUACAAAUAACGAAAUCAUGUGUAAGACUCUUUACAUAUUUUAUCGAUCCAUUUAUUCGUGAUUGGAAGCUUGAAUUCUGAUUUUUGUAGUUCAGGAGUAGCUAGCUCCCAUGUGUUGGUGUAUUUAAAUAUUUUGUCAAUACUAGCAUAUGGUCCAGUUUAAAUAAUAUAGGUGCAAUCUCUGCAUCUUAUAACUGUAAUUACUUGUUAAUUGUCUUGCGUUCGAUUCCAGAAACUCGACGAGCUGAAUAUAUUAAGGUUAUUACAACUUAUCCUCCUUCGGGUGUUUGGAAGUUGCUGUUGACUUUGAAUUGUCUAAUGCUUUGUAUAUAUAACACACGCCCUUUUGAAUGCUAGCAGCAGACGGCGAUCUCUUCUUUUUUGUUUCUGUUUCUUAGCUUUGCACCUGGAUGCCCGCCCACUGUUUUCGUUAUCUCCAUGGUAAUGAAAAUCGAUCCCCUCAUGGAUCGCUUGAAAAAAAAUUAAGGUUAUUACAGAGAAGUACCCCUUUGUGGCCACUGUGGAGAUAACAGUUGUACCCUAGGCUCUUAAAGUCAAAUUCCUUGGCAAUUUCACUUCAGCAGUCAUGCUAAGCUGGCAGUAGCAGCUGUGCUUCGUACCAGUUGGUCUUGCUCUUUCUAGCACUCUUGCGAAAGCAUAUCGCUGUUCCAAUGCCUUCUCGGAUAUCUUGUUGCCAUCUUGGUGUGUAAGAAGCAGGGAUAUAUUUGACAUUGUAUUUGACCCACUGCCUGCUGCGUGGCUUCCCAUCCUCUGAACAUCAAAUGAAGUGACAUAAAGCCGGGAUCAACGACAUUAUGAGGGAUUAUUGUGCCUCAUGCAUGAGCUAUGUUUGAAUUGUGUAUACACUAGGCUUCACAUGUAAUUGAUUGGUCUACACAAAUAUUAUAUGUAUUCCUUUCUUAUUAAAUCUCUAAUACACAAGGCUGUUGUAAGUUGCUAGAUUUUCAAUACACAGUAGGAUCAUGAUUUUUUGGCGCGUGAUUUUGCAUCCACAUUACACCUUUUUAUGUCACUAUUUUUAAGAGUGUAAUCAGGCCAGCAAAUUUUUACAAGCGCGUUACUGUUGUUACA